GCCAGCCCGCUCAGAAACUUAAAGGAAUUGACGGGGGCCCGCACAAGCGGUGGAGCAUGUGGUUUAAUUCGAUGAUACGCGAGGAACCUUACCUGGGCUCAAAUGUAUGUUGACGUAUUCUGAAAGGGAUACUUCUUCGGACAAUAUACAAGGUGCUGCAUGGUUGUCGUCAGCUCGUGCCGUGAGGUGUCGGGUUAAGUCCCAUAACGAGCGCAACCCCUACUGCUAGUUGCCAGCGGGUCAUGCCGGGGACUCUAGCGGAACUGCCAGCGUAAGCUGCGAGGAAGGUGGGGAUGACGUCAAAUCAGCACGGCCCUUACGUCCAGGGCUACACACGUGUUACAAUGGCCAGUACAGAGGGCAGCCACCCCGCGAGGGGGCGCUAAUCCUAAAAGCUGGUCCCAGUUCGGAUCGGAGUCUGCAACCCGACUCCGUGAAGCUGGAUUCGCUAGUAAUCGCGCAUCAGCCACGGCGCGGUGAAUACGUUCCCGGGCCUU
rnacentral:rRNA from 1 species